UUUAAUUAUUAUUACAAUGUAUGAAUUAUAAGAUUGUCCUUCUUAUUGUAAUAAAAAUAGUCAUACCAGGAAGGUAUUAAUCAAUAUUUGAAUUUUCGCGGCACAAUGACGUAAUUGCUAUGCAUUUUUCGUCGGUGUAAAGAGGUUAGGAUGAUUGCACUUGUUAGCCAAUAAUAUAAACAAAUCUUAAUUAUGUAUCAUUGAUUAUAACAAGUGGCAGGGGGGCACGGGGCAAGCAUGUUGUCAUUUUUUCGAAAAAUCUCAAUUGGGGGGAAGAUAAAAGAUGGUUUGCCAACAGGCGACGAAAUGGAGGUUACAGAAGGCUGCACAGACGUAAAAGAUCAAAUUCUCGCUUCGCAAUCGGACACUGAGCUUAAGGAAUCUGUUUAUGAUCUAUUGAGAACGAUUAAGGAUCCUGAAAAGCCACAAACGUUGGAACAACUGGAUGUUGUGUACGAAGAUUGUGUUGAAAUUUCAAAGCAUACUCCAAAAGGAGUAUCCGUGAUACGCAUCGAGUUCAAUCCAACUGUACCGCAUUGCUCUUUAGCUACAUUGAUAGGUCUUUGUAUUAGGGUAAAAUUGGAACGUCAUUUAGUAGCUCUUUUUAAACUAGACAUAUACAUUAAGCAAGGUGCACACUCAACAGAGCAAGAAAUAAAUAAACAGAUAAAUGACAAGGAGAGGAUAGCAGCUGCCAUGGAGAAUCCUAAUUUAAGAGAAUUAGUGGAGAAGUGUAUCCAAGAAGAAGAAUGAAGGAAUAGAUUCUUUUGGUGCAUGGGUUUCAAUAGAUUAGAAGUUCUACCUCUGAUUUUUAAAGGGAUUUAUUGAUUAAAUGAUAAAUACAAGAACACAUUUUGGAUUAUAUGGGACUAGGGUCGUUUUUGCGUUGUUACCAAUGACAUAAAUGAAAGCUUUCGCAGUGUGUUAGACGGAUGCCUGCUAAAGAUCUCAAGAGUAUAGAGAUGUGUGAUUAUGAGGAUAUGAAAAUUUCGAAAUUUGAUGAUUUAUAAUUUUUAAAUUAAAAAAUUAUCUUCGUAUCAGUGGCUGAAAGUGCAGACGCCCUGCCUGCUCGUGCACUAUGCCCUUGCGGGCAUUGCCUAUCGUUGGUCAACGAAAGAACAAUUCCUUUAAAAGAAUCAAUUACAGUGAUGGAUUCCAAUACGAGAAAAACGAAUUGUAGCUCCGAAAGAUGACGACUUCGGGGAAGCUCGGAGGCAACGGGUGAGGGAAGUGACCAGUGAGAGGU